AAAAUCUGAAAAUAUUUAGUGUGCCCUUUCCUUUUGAAAAUAUUUCCCCCUAAUCGCUUAUGAUAUAUAUUUUCUAUAUUUUAAGUAGGUUGCUCAUAUAAUUUCAGGGCACACUUCCAAACAGGUAGGUAAACUACUUCUAUUAUUACUAGCAAAAUUUAAUGAAUGCAUGAGAAAUAUACACACAGCCUAAAACUGGUAACAAAUAUCAAUGAGAAAUUCCCAAAGGGAUUAUAAAGUAAAACAUUGGAUACAGCCAAUAGGCAGCAAGUCUUCACUGCUGAUAAUUCCGGAUAAUACUGAUUUCAUGGUUUCUUAUUCUUUCUGUCCAAAUUCAAAAUCAUAACAAAGAAUGAAACAGACAACUACUGAUAUAAGAUAAACUGAGUAAUUAUUAUAUCCUGACUGAAGUUCGGAGGGGCCCUGUGCAGCUGGCACCUGAAAUUAAAAGGAAGUUCACAUAAAGAAAGUGAUGACAGCUAGUUCAAUAACCAACCACCAAUUGAGAAACUGUUUGGAUUGGACAACCCCCUUCUCUUCAUAUGCUCAACUAAAUAGCAUUUUCACAGAAGUCUUUUGCCCAUCCAGGCUUCCUCCAGUUCAAUUCAUGUUGAUUUGAUUUGGUUAAAUAUGUAAGAAACGAGGGUGCAGCAUGUGAUAUUGUGCAUGAGAGCAUGCCCCACGCCUUCUACUUCUCUAGGGAUCAUUCUAAGUAACAGUACAGGCAAUUCUAACAACCUCCCUUGGGAUCCCCAUUCUAUCCCUUGUUCUUGAACCUGUUCUUCCUUCAGCUCUGCCUUUACACAAGCAAAUAAAUUAUUGAUAAAAGGAGCAAUAAAUUAAUGAAAAUUGGUAAACCUGCUUUGGCCCUUCUAGUAGGCUACAUAUCUAACCCUCUUUAUCUCUGCCUGUAGUAUUCCUUGUGACACACAAGUUGAAAUGUUUCUUAGUUUUUAAAAGAUGACCCCUUGAGAUAAAAAUUGGGUAUUGAAUCAUCUA
rnacentral:lncRNA from 1 species